CAUUCGGGUCAGUUUUCUUAUCCCUUCUUGCUUUGUGUGUGAUAUUAUACUCUUCAUGAAUAUGUAUGUUUUCUGUAUAUGUAUCUGAAAUAAUUAAUAUUAUGUGCGUAUGUUGAUGCCUAUAUAAUUAAUAUUAUCAUCUUGAUAUAUUAGACUGCCUUUAUGUGUUGUAUAUUUGUUAGUGUCUCCCUUUUGUUUAGCAAGGCUUUAAACAUAAGGUUCAAGAUGUUGAAGAGUUCGCCUGGGACCGGGAUUCUGGACAGAAUUAGUUUUUUUCAGACUUUUAUUUAUUAUUACCGUUUAAUUUCAGUUUUUGUAAUAAUUUUUUGAACUCCAACUACUCCAUACAUAUAUGAAAUAAUUUGGGGAACCGUUUAAGG
rnacentral:lncRNA from 1 species